AGACACACACACAAACAUGCCAGCCACAUUCACACACACAAACACACACCAUUAUUUAUAGAGAUAACCUUCUUUAGUAUGCCCAGAGGAAGGGCAAUACAGCAGCCAUGGUUUCCCUACAGGUUUCCUCUACUGGGUUUUUUUUCUUGUCCUGAGUGUUACUGUAUGCUCUUGGUGAGUGACAGGAGGUUAAUACACAUAUACACAUUAUUAUAAUAAACUUUACAUUUUUUACUUUUCUUUGACUUGUCCAAGUAAUUUUCUUUUAUUUCUGUAUGUGAAAAAUAGUGUUAGCAAAAUUUGGAUGACAUUAGAUUUGUUAGAGUGUCGAAAGCUGCUCUCCCACCCAAUCUGCACAGUCCAGUUCCGAGAGACAUAGCUGAUGCUGGGUGGUACAGUUGUCAAGGCAACUAUAUGACACCCAGCGAGUUCCGUGCACAAGCUGAUUUCUGAUGAACAGGAUUCAUCUAGGGAACUUUCUGGCGGUUGUACAAUUGCAGAGGAUCAGGUAGAGAUGGAGUCAGGAACAUAGUAUAUUGCACCUUAACAGUAACACCUUCACUAUGGGACUCCAUUGAACCUAUUGCUAAGAUGCCAGAACGCAAGAGCGUGUACUGCUGUCCCUCAUUCUUCUUACAGUUAAUGCCAAGGCAGAACUAAGCGAGAGGUGGAAGGAAGAGAUAAUGGAAAGGUACAACAGUGCUGUGAGAUGCGAUAAGCAAGAGGGCACCAGAGACAAAGAAAGUGAAUUUAGAGAAGAAGAUACUGUGGCAUCUAUGUGACGAGAAGAAUGAAUGACUGAAAGUACAUUAUUAUGGAAGCAGCUAUCUUGCCUGAGAUGAAUUUAUCAGCAUUUACAGACCUGAUUUACAGCAAGGCCUAUGGACACAGGCACAAUAGUCUGAAGUGGACUUUUAGUAGCUGUGUCAGUCCCCAAUACUCUGACCAAAAUCUCUGAUAUGUAUCUAGCUAAGGAGAGUGCAGCAGUUACCAUUUCCUAUGGUAUAAAGACUACAUUUUGAGAAUUCAAAUCAUCAGAUGAGGAUCUGUGCAGACACUAAGCCAGCAAAGCAUGCUGGGAGAUUUCACUUCACCUUUCUACUUUCUUCCUAUAAUAACAUUCUGCCUGUCUUCCAUUCUCUGCAGUGUUCCAGGUAAUCUACAUUGGCUUCUGUUUGAGGCUUUUUUUCUUUGUGCCUCUGGUUUCGACUACUGAUAUACCGUAUAUAUAUAUAUAUAUAAUACAUGCUUCAUGUCUGUAGAUUUGACUACUGCCUUGUUUGACAACAUUAAACCAG